AACUGUUCUAAAUGUUUAUUAGAAAAGUUUGUUGUAGUGGCACAAUUGUAUUGUACCAGGCGGGGAGUGUUCUGCCUUUAAUAACUUAAACUGGAUAUUAUAGUUGUAAACUGCCCUAGAGCUCCCUCUAGUGGCUGCUUUGUAAUAUGGGUUUGGUUACUUUAGGAAGGGAAAAAAUGAGAACGUGAAGAAGAAAUCAAAGAUGGCGGAAAGUGAUGCCGUAAUGUUAUUGUUCUAAGCUGAUACGGACCUUAAAAUGUUGUUGCCUUGGACAAGAUAUGUCUCGCUGCGUGGCAAAAACUCACUGAUGUAACUGAUCUGGUUUCUACAGUAAGACAGGAGAUCAGACCCCCACCACCCCCCACCCCACCCUGGAUCCUUCUACCUCCGCCUACGACUACAUCAUCUUAUAUCUGUGUCAGUCAAUAAGACAAAACUGUCAGAAUUUAAAUUACGUCACACUCCAGACUAUAAAAGGAGCAUCUGGAUUAAUUAACCACAAGAAGUGAGCAGCAGGAAGAACAGGCGUGUUCACAGAGGCUGAGUUCCUGUUCUCAGAUCACACAGGAACUAUUCAGACACUUCCCACUGUGUCAGGAUGAAGGUGAACAUCUUCUGCUGCCUGUUAGUCUGCACUCUGGGCUCUAAUGUCACUGCUGGUUUAACCCAUGAAGUAUUUAAGGAGGGGACACAGCUCACUCUGCGCUGUCCUCACUCUGUGGAGGGUAAAGUGAGGUGGAGCAGAGAGAGUGGAGGAAGCAGAGCUGACAUACUUACAGCUGAUGGAGACGGAAAUAUAAAACACAUCAAUGAUUCACAGAAACGAUACAGUUCACUGGCUGAUCGAUCUCUGAUCAUCGUCAGAGCUUCUGUCUCAGACUCUGGCAGAUACUUCUGUAACCAUGAAGCAGCUGUGGAGCUGACAGUGAUCCCAUCAGGAACUAAAAUAGUGAGUGUUGCAGAGAGGAGCAGCAUCACUCUGAACUGUUCUCAUGAUGUUGGAGGAUCAGCUGUUCCCACAUGGAGACGAGACUCUGGAGAAAUAAAUGAAGGAAGGAUUUCUGUUUCCACUGAGGACAAAACAUUAAGUAUAAGAGAAGCUGAGCCUGCUGACUCUGGACUGUACUACUGUGAUGGAAAACCAGCUGUUUAUCUGAAUGUGACCAAAGGACAGAGAUCUGACAGAGGUGAGACACAUGAACCCAAAAAUAACACAGAAAGGUUUUUGUAGAGUUUCCAACAAACUUUAAUCUAAGAAAAUCUUCCUGCUGGAUUAUUCCUACCAUACAGACAUGAGAGUGGUGUCAGUGUUUUACCUAAAUGUGGACUCACACUGAGCAUGGAGGCCGAGUAGUGUCCCCAUUAAAUUCUGUCUAAUUUAAUAAAAUGCAUUCACAGCUUCUAUCACAGAUGAACUACAAAUCUAAAACACAAACAGCAGAUGUUUCCAUUUAAAUUGUGACUAAGAAGCAAAUUCUUCAUCAGACAAGCUGGAAGUUUUUGAUAGAGCAGAAAUAUCUUAAUGACCUUCAGAUGUGAUGAGAUUAUUACAAACUACAGCACAAAGAUGCUGACUGUGGGCGAGUAUCAGUCAUUCUAGGACGUUCACAAAGCUCGAGCAUUAAUAUUAUUAGUGCUGUCCUGGGAAACAAACGUCCUUUUUUCAUGCUUUCAACAUGUUAAUGACAAUAAAGAACACGUCUUUCGUUCUGUCUGUCUGUCUACUUCAUUUGUCAGAAUCUUAUGUUGUUUGUAACUCACUGACACAUCUGUGUUUCAAACUGGGCUGUCCACACCACACCCAGCCUCUGUGUCAUAACUGGUUAUAAAUACUUUGUGAGGAUGAAUCAGUAAAGUCAUAAAGGUCAACCUUCAACACAACGUUUCCAUGACAGCAUC
rnacentral:lncRNA from 1 species